AACGAACGCUGGCGGCAUGCCUAACACAUGCAAGUCGAACGAGACCUUCGGGUCUAGUCGCGUAUGGCUGUGUCACGCGUGGGAACCUGCCCUUAGGUUCGGAAUAACUCCCAGAAAGGGGUGCUAUUACCGGAUCAUGUCUACGGACCAAAGAUCUAUCGCCUUUGGAUGGGCCCGCGUUGGAUUAGCUAUUUGGUAGGGUAAUAACGUACCAAGGCGACGAUCCAUAGCUGGGCUGGGAGGGUGAUCAGCCACACUGGGACUGAGACACGGCCCAGACUCCUACGGGAUGCAGCAGUGGGGGAUAUUGGACAAUGGGCGAAAUCCUGAUCCAGCAAUGCCGCGUGAGUGAUGAAGGCAGUAGGGUUGUAAAGCUCUUUUACCCGGGAUGAUAAUGACAGUACCUGGUGAAUAAGCUCCGGCUAACUCCGUG
rnacentral:rRNA from 1 species